rnacentral:rRNA from 1 species
UGGGGAAUCUUGCGCAAUGGGCGAAAGCCUGACGCAGCAACGCCGCGUGCGGGAUGACGGCCCUCGGGUUGUAAACCGCUUUCAGCAGGAACGAAUCUGACGGUACCUGCAGAAGAAGGUCCGGCCAACUACGUGCCAGCAGCCGCGGUAACACGUAGGGACCAAGCGUUGUCCGGAUUUAUUGGGCGUAAAGAGCUCGUAGGCGGUUCGGUAAGUCGGGUGUGAAAACUCUGGGCUCAACUCGGAGAGGCCACCCGAUACUGCCGUGACUUGAGUCCGGUAGGGGAGCACGGAAUUCCUGGUGUAGCGGUGAAAUGCGCAGAUAUCAGGAGGAACACCGGUGGCGAAGGCGGUGCUCUGGGCCGGUACUGACGCUGAGGAGCGAAAGCGUGGGUAGCAAACAGG